rnacentral:rRNA from 1 species
UACGAAGGGGGCUAGCGUUGCUCGGAAUCACUGGGCGUAAAGCGCACGCAGGCGGAUCGUUAAGUCAGGGGUGAAAUGCCGAGGCUCAACCUCGGAACUGCCUUUGAUACUGGCGAUCUUAGAGUCCGGGAGAGGUGAGUGGAACUCCGAGUGUAGAGGUGAAAUUCGUAGAUAUUCGGAAGAACACCAGUGGCGAAGGCGGCUCACUGGCCCGGUACUGACGCUGAGACGCGAAAGCGUGGGGAGCGAACAGG